UUGUCCUAUUCCAACAGACCCUGCUGAAGAGUCUGUCUCUUCUUUCUUACAGCCGCCCUUUAGAUAUUGAAAAGCCAUUCUCAGGUCUCCCCAGAGCCUUCUCUUCUCCAGGCUGCACAGUCCCAGCUCUCAGCCUGUGAAUAAUGAAGUGCUAAGAACCACUUAUAAUAAGAUAAGCUUGGAAUUGUGGCAAAAGACACUUUUUGAGACACUCAAGGUCAGGCUGGACAGGGCUCUGAGCCCCUGAUCUAUAGCUGUUCCCUGUUCACUGAAGAGUUGUUGGACCAGAUGGCCUCUGAGGGUCCCUUCCAACUCAAAUAAUCCUAUGAUUCUAAAAAAUGCUGGAUGCUAAUCCUUGUUCUGAAUAGUUGACAUCACGGUUAGGUUAUCUUUAUUUGACUCAAUCAAAUUCCAGUUCUGAAGCCCAUUGGAAUCAAGAUAUCCAUGAAACGCUACCCAGUUCUGGACCUGAUUCUCAGGGAUUUUUUCCUCCAUAGCAAGCCACAGAAUUGCUAGACAGAGAUUUAGCUUGAUCUGGUUGCUUCUUAGAGAAUCUAUAUUCAGAUACAAAACAAAGCUCUGUACCGGUCUGCCUCUUGCUCCAGAGAAAUCACUUUUCAUUUCAGUUAUGUUGAUGGAUCACAGGGCAACAGCUGUGGCACACAGGAUGAGCGAUUAGUGAGAUUGUCCUAUAAGUUAUCUGCACUUGAGGUAGAGAGAAAAAAAGUUUCAUUUGCCUUAAAGGCAGAAAAGUUCCACCAGAGUGGGAUGAUUGACUGACCUUGGAGCAGUAAGGCUGAUCAUUUGGCACGAGUGUAAAUGAAAAAUUCAUCAUUACCGAUGAUUUUUUACCACCCUAGAAAAACCAAAUAUUAAUAUGGUUUAAUACAGUGCAAUUGAAAAUCCAGAAUGCAAUAAAACUUUCAUAUCAUGCUAGCACAGGGAUUUCUUUGUGUUAUUCAUUUGAGGAGUAGAAUAUUCUCCCUCCCUAUUUCAAGUCAUUCUUUCCAGUGCUGAAACAAUAUGGUAUUUCAUUUGAGUACUUUCACUGCUCUUUCAAUAUAUGGACUCACAGGUAUUCUCAGUCUUUCAUAAAUGAUGAAACUUUUGUCUGCAUCUCAGCACAAAUUCUGAACACACAGUCCUUGGAUUACUUCCCAAAGAAACAUUUGAUACAUGCAGUACAAUCACAGUUGUCUGUAAGGUACUUUGGCACUGGGAAACUCCAAAGCAGAGAGAGAAAAAGGAAUUCUUUACUGAGAUCGGUGAUGGUGACCUUUAGAAGCUGAGAGCCAAUAAGGAGCCCAAGUCUGUGACAUGCAAUCUCCGUAAACAAGAUCCCCAAAGGCCAUGAGUCAAAGACUCCUCUUCUUACUCUUUUCUAACGUGAAAUUGGGAAUUCUGUUGUAGAAAAGAAAUAACAGUCUACCUUGGGAUAGUGUAAAGUACGAACUGGCCACAGGGGAUUCACAUUUUCUAAUUAAAUGCCGAUUAAAAUCAAUUAAAAAGCCAUAGCAGUCCUGUACUAAUGAGGGAAGUCUUAUUAUUACCUCUGCAUUAAGUACUGUAUCAUCCACUAAUUCCACUUAAUCACAGUGACUUUUUUUGUCACUACAAAGACCUAUAGACCAAUACUGCAGUAGGUUUGUGCAAUGAGCUGUACAGGUUCAGUGUUCACUAGCCAAGGUAACAUGUUUUCUUGUAUUCCACAAGUGAUGGUGUCUCUAAAAGGAAUCUCUUCAAUAUAUGAAAACUUUAAGAGGUGUCACCCCCAUUUUUUUGACUCUGUCACAUUCCAAUAGUGUUCUUGAACUCUAUGGAUUGCUGGUAAUACAUUUCAUUUGUCCCAUUAAAAUGUAAGUAGAAUUAUAAACUACCAUGAUACGGUUGCCACUGUGUCUUAAGGUGCUCAGUAUCAUGAAAAAUCACAAGACUGAAGUCAUCAUGUAAUCGGAGAAUAAAAAUGUAUACACUAAUCAAAAUGUUUGGAGAGAAGACAAAAAGACCCAAACCUCUCUCAGGCCAUAUGAUGUCUUAACUUUCUAAACACCUUGUUGUUUAUUUUUUUGUUUUGUAACUUGGCUUUAUUGUUGCAAAUCUGUGAUUCUGAACAAAUGCAGUCCUUUAUGCUCAGCAAGCGAUGAAGCUGAUGCUCUGUAACAGUCAGUAGAUAGCAGAGUCUCUGUGACUUCAGUUGGAGGCACAAUUGCUACUCAGAGGUGCGCCAGCAAAUUCCUCUGGAUGUGGAGCUGGGAGUUUUCAGAACGUCUGAAGGAGACUGUCCCAGAACUGCACGAUUCUGCAUGCAGGAGUCUGACAAAGCUCGCCAGUUCCUGGAGAAGAGGGACGUGAAUCCCCUUGGCAACUGGAAAAAGUCAGGACCCGAACCCUCAAGCUCAGUCCCUGUGUUUCCCUUUUUGGAAUGUUUCUGGUGUCUCCCCUGCUUCUUGUUGGAUUUGCUUGUGCAGAACCUGUCUGGUUUGUUGAAGUGGCUAUAUACCACUAUAUACCAUGUGUGCUAAUGCUUUCUUAGGCAAUGAAGUUUGCAAUUAACUCAGAGUCCUGCCUAGCUAGUGCACUUACUGAAGAUGUAUUUGCUAGCAUGUACAUCAGCUGUAAAUUAUAAGCUUCUCACUCACACUAGCCACUAAACAUAAAUGUGUUGUAAAAUGCUUUGCAGUGAUUAUAGCACUAAGUUUUGCUGAAUGGUGCUGACAAUUCAUUCAUAGUUACUGAUAUGAUCAUUUUUAAUGUGAUUUCCAUACUUCCACAAGUCUUUUUCCCCCUAAAAUGUAGUGUCUCUGUAAGAUAUCCUUCUUUGCUUCAUAAUUAAACAGAA
ensembl:lncRNA